GACGUAGGGCGCGAGCGUUGUCCGGAUUUAUUGGGCGUAAAGAGCUCGUAGGCGGCUUGUCGCGUCGGGAGUGAAAACCUUGGGCUUAACUCCGAGCCUGCUUCCGAUACGGGCAGACUAGAGGUAGGCAGGGGAGAGCGGAACUCCUGGUGUAGCGGUGAAAUGCGCAGAUAUCAGGAGGAACACCGAUGGCGAAGGCAGGUCUCUGGGCCACUACUGACGCUGAGGAGCGAAAGCGUGGGGAGCAAACAGG
rnacentral:rRNA from 1 species